UACGAGGGGGGCGAGCGUUGUUCGGAAUUAUUGGGCGUAAAGGGCGCGUAGGCGGUGCGGUAAGUCACCUGUGAAACCUCUGGGCUCAACUCAGAGCCUGCAGGCGAAACUGCCGGACUAGAGUUCGGAAGAGGCGAGUGGAAUUCCCGGUGUAGCGGUGAAAUGCGCAGAUAUCGGGAGGAACACCUAUGGCGAAGGCAGCUCGCUGGGACGUUACUGACGCUGAGACGCGAAAGCGUGGGGAGCAAACAGG
rnacentral:rRNA from 1 species